rnacentral:rRNA from 1 species
GAUGAACGCUGGCGGUGUGCCUAAUACAUGCAAGUCGAGCGAACGGACGAGAAGCUUGCUUCUCUGAUGUUAGCGGCGGACGGGUGAGUAACACGUGGAUAACCUACCUAUAAGACUGGGAUAACUUCGGGAAACCGGAGCUAAUACCGGAUAAUAUUUUGAACCGCAUGGUUCAAAAGUGAAAGACGGUCUUGCUGUCACUUAUAGAUGGAUCCGCGCUGCAUUAGCUAGUUGGUAAGGUAACGGCUUACCAAGGCAACGAUGCAUAGCCGACCUGAGAGGGUGAUCGGACACACUGGAACUGAGACACGGUCCAGACUCCUACGGGAGGCAGCAGUAGGGAAUCUUCCGCAAUGGGCGAAAGCCUGACGGAGCAACGCCGCGUGAGUGAUGAAGGUCUUCGGAUCGUAAAACUCUGUUAUUAGGGAAGAACAUAUGUGUAAGUAACUGGGCACAUCUUGACGGUACCUAAUCAGAAAGCCACGGCUAACUACGUG